GGACUCUCUUUCUCGAAGCAUGAUGCGUGGACAGCAUGAAAUUGUUUCGGUACGGUCACAAGAUUGGUAAAUGAGAACCUCAUCUGUUCAAGGCGUCAAAAAAUUAUCUUAAUAUUCAUGGAAGGAGUGGCGUUGCCGAUGCAUAUGGUUAUCUUCCGGCAUUUUCCAUUUAAGUUUAUAUCCUCUAUGCAUAUAUUUGCUCAAAAAGUGCACAAGUGUAUUGGACAUUAGCACUUUUAACAUAUAUUACGGACUUGUGGUAAUAAAUUUUCUUGUAUUGUAAUAAUUUCUUGAUAGAAAUUUAUGAAGUUGUUAUGGUAUUGCACUA